rnacentral:rRNA from 1 species
UACGUAGGGUGCAAGCGUUGUCCGGAAUUAUUGGGCGUAAAGAGCUCGUAGGCGGCUUGUCGCGUCGACUGUGAAAACCCGAGGCUCAACUUCGGGCUUGCAGUCGAUACGGGCAGACUGGAGUACUGCAGGGGAGACUGGAAUUCCUGGUGUAGCGGUGGAAUGCGCAGAUAUCAGGAGGAACACCGGUGGCGAAGGCGGGUCUCUGGGCAGUAACUGACGCUGAGGAGCGAAAGCGUGGGGAGCGAACAGG